rnacentral:rRNA from 1 species
GACAGAGGUGCCGAGCGUUAGGCGGAAUCACUGGGCUUAAAGCGUGUGUAGGUGGACCUGUAAGUACCUUGUGAAAUCCCACGGCUUAACCGUGGAACUGCUCGGUAUACUGCGGGUCUUGAGGUGCUAGGGGCGAGCGGAACAAAUGGUGGAGCGGUGAAAUGCGUAGAUAUCAUUUGGAACGCCAAUGGUGAAAACAGCUCGCUGGGGGCAUCCUGACACU